GUGGAACAAAAGGGUAAAAG
rnacentral:snRNA from 1 species